GCAGCAACGCCGCGUGCGGGAUGACGGCCUUCGGGUUGUAAACCGCUUUCAGCAGGGACGAAGCAACACGUGACGGUACCUGCAGAAGAAGCACCGGCCAACUACGUGCCAGCAGCCGCGGUGAUACGUAGGGUGCGAGCGUUGUCCGGAAUUAUUGGGCGUAAAGAGCUUGUAGGCGGUCUAUUGCGUCGAAAGUGAAAACUCAGGGCUCAACCCUGAGCCUGCUCUCGAUACGGGUAGACUUGAGGGAUGUAGGGGAGAACGGAAUUCUUGGUGGAGCGGUGGAAUGCGCAGAUAUCAGGAGGAACACCGGUGGCGAAGGCGGUUCUCUGGACAUUUCCUGACGCUGAGAAGCGAAAGCGUGGGUAGCAAACAGGCUUAGAUACCCUGGUAGUCCACGCCGUAAACGGUGGGUACUAGGUGUGGGGGACAUUCCACGUUCUCCGUGCCGCAGCUAACGCAUUAAGUACCCCGCCUGGGGAGUACGGCCGCAAGGCUAAAACUCAAAGGAAUUGACGGGGCCCCGCACAAGCGGCGGAGCAUGCGGAUUAAUUCGAUGCAACGCGAAGAACCUUACCUGGGUUUGACAUAUGCCGGAAAGGCCUAGAGAUAGGUCCCCCCU
rnacentral:rRNA from 1 species